rnacentral:rRNA from 1 species
GAUGAACGCUGGCGGCGUGCCUAACACAUGCAAGUCGAACGAAGCACCUUUUAAGAUUCUUCGGAUGAUUGAUUGGUGACUGAGUGGCGGACGGGUGAGUAACGCGUGGGUAACCUGCCCUGUACAGGGGGAUAACAGUUGGAAACGGCUGCUAAUACCGCAUAAGCGCACGAGAGGACAUCCUCUUGUGUGAAAAACUCCGGUGGUACAGGAUGGGCCCGCGUCUGAUUAGCUGGUUGGUAGGGUAACGGCCUACCAAGGCGACGAUCAGUAGCCGGUCUGAGAGGAUGAACGGCCACAUUGGAACUGAGACACGGUCCAAACUCCUACGGGAGGCAGCAGUGGGGAAUAUUGCACAAUGGGGGAAACCCUGAUGCAGCAACGCCGCGUGAGUGAAGAAGUAUUUCGGUAUGUAAAGCUCUAUCAGCAGGGAAGAUAAUGACGGUACCUGACUAAGAAGCUCCGGCUAAAUACGUGCCAGCAGCCGCCGUAA